rnacentral:lncRNA from 1 species
CUACAAACACUACAUCACCUAUAUACACACACACACUAUAGCCCGUAUGCACACACUAACUACAUCCCCUAUACACACAUUCUUUACAGGCCCUAGCCACAUAUGCAUUACAUUACACCAAAAACACAACACGACUAAAACCGACCUUAUUACACAAUACCACACCUCAAUCAGCUCACUCUACACACACCCAAUCCCACAAGCAGGCUCCAAACACAUGCACAAUACUCUUUCCUG